AUGUUGCAACUGCAUGUUUCAUGUUACCUCGAUGGUCAAUACUCAUCUGUUGAUGUGUAUACAAGUAGCUUGAUACGUGUUGUUGUCAUUCAGCGUUUGAUAUGUUUUCUUCUUCUUCUUCUUUUUUACCAAUGCUAUUGCAAUGUUUGCCAUAUUCAGUAUGUGGUUGCAAUGUUUGCCAUGCUCCGAAAAGACUGCCAUUGUUCUGCUCUUUUCUGUGACGCGACAUUCUUUGCAUCAGUCUUGGAGGGUUGUAUAAACCAUAUUGCAUGUUCCUGUGCAUGUGUGAAAUGUUGCUUUUUACGUAAAAUUCAUAUGUACUAUAUUUUGUCUGACUCAAUUUAUUCUGCUAGCAUUACAUGCCUCUUACAGGAGUUUUGCUUUCUAUGUAUAUAUCAGUUGUACUAA
rnacentral:rRNA from 1 species